CCUACGGGAGGUAGCAGUGGGGAAUAUUGGUCAAUGGAGGAAACUCUGAACCAGCAAAGCCGCGUGAAUGAUGAAGGUCUUCGGAGUGUAAAGCUCUUUUCUAAGGGAAGAAGAUAGAGACGGUAACGUAGGACUAAGCAUCGGCUAACUACGUGCCAGCAGCCGCGGUAAGACGUAGGAGGCAAGCGUUAUCCGGAAUGACUGGGCGUAAAGGGUGCGGAGGUGGUUUGGCAAGUUAGUAGCGUAACCCCGGGGCUCAACCUCGGAACUACCACUGACACUGGCGGACGUGAGUGCAGGAGUGGCAAUUGGAAUUCCUAGUGUAGCGGUGGAAUGCGUAGAUAUUAGGAGGAACACCAGUGGCGAAGGCGGAUUGCUGGACUGUAACUGACACUGAGGCACGAAAGCGUGGGUAUCAAACAGGAUUAGAUACCCUAGUAGUC
rnacentral:rRNA from 1 species